rnacentral:lncRNA from 1 species
CCCUGUGUCCCCUCGCUGAGGUGACAUCUGUAGCAGUGACCUGGGGGUGUCACAAGACUGGAAUUGCUGAAGGAAUGGGGAAAAGGGUGCUGGGAAAGCGGCUGUGGGCACAGCUAGGCAGGUUUUGUCUGGAAAGGGGAUAAGAAGCCAAAACAGCAGGAUGCUGCAACAAAUGACAAAGUCAGAAACUCGAGGAAAAGAUGUUUCAGGUCUCGGCAGGCACCAGGGUCUGCUGGAGAGGUGGCCAAGGACAGAGAUGUCAUUGCCCAGAGAGGUUUUGGACUCUUCAUCCCUGGAAGUGUCCAAGGCCAGGUUGGAUGGAGCUUGGAGCAAUCUGAAACAGUGGAAGGUGUCCCUGCCCUGAUGAACUUUAAGGUCCCUUCCAGCCCAAACCAAUGUGGGAUUCUACAAUUCCGUGAUCCUGUGGUUCUAUGACAUAACAAAGAUUUCAGGCCUCAGGUGUCCCCUUGGAGAAUCGUUGUCCCAGCUUCAGCUGGGCUCUGGGACAAGCACUGAGCUCAUCAAAACCCAUGGCAAAGGAAGGCAGGACAUUUCUGCAUUUCUCCCUUCCUCACACCUUGUGUGACCUCCCUGUAAAGCUGCUGGUGACAGUGACAUCAUGUCCUCCCCACGCUGUCUUAGAACCUGAAGGUCAGAGAAACUUCCCAAACCCUACAGGAUGAGCUCUCAUCCCCUUUCCUGGAUGCCUUUGCUGCCUGUGCAGCGUGCGAGGGCUCAGCCAAACCCCGUUUCAAUGGUGCCCUGCCCAUUCACAUCAGACCAAGCCUAUGGAGAUCCAAAUCAGAAACCCCGCCCAUUCCAGGCCUUGCGGGUCACCGUGGAUUUCAGGAGGGAGGAAAAACUGAGGAACAAGAACACGCCAAGAGCCUGAAACCUCACAGAGGCAACAAUUUAGAGGAUUUCAAAGGCUGUUUCCGUAAGCCUUUGGGGACUCCAAUGGAGCAUAUUGAUUAAACUUCGGAAGCAGCUA